CAGACCGAGCGCUGCAAUCCGGAUGUGCCAUCCUAUUGGCGCUCCCGACAUCGCCUCCUCCACCCCUCUCUGACAUGAAUUUAAUGCAGGUGCAGACACAAGCCUCGCAUAAGGGAGCAAUUUUCUGAUUCAUUCAUGUAAGACCCUGAGGGAGAGUUGGAACAAGAUGUACAAAGGUGAGGUCUCCAGCAGUUCUCUCUGCUGACACUGCUCUUCGCAUGGGACAUUGACACAUCACUUAAUCAUAAGGGGUGGCAGGACCCUGCAUCAACAGCAGUUCAUUGAUCCUCCUGAAACCUCCAUUAGUGGUGGGAAAGCUGAAGACAUGAUGGAAACCUGAAUGGAAUCAGUCAAUAAAUCAGCCCCUAUUUAUCUCAAUCCAGUUCCCUGACUACACUUUCUCUUCUUACUCCUUGUUAGGGAGAACAUUUUGCAGCAUUGUUAUUACUGUAGCACUUUUGUAAUUCAGACCCUGUUAUUCGUUCUUCUGGCCUUGUGGAUUAAUGAGAUUAAUUGGUCCCUGCCUUCCUUGCUGUAUCUUUGGAGAGAUUUUCUGGCCCUCCUCUACGCUUUGCUGGGGUGAAUUUCCUCACUCCUGUAGGCCUUUCUCACAUGGCAGGUUACACAGAUG
ensembl:lncRNA